rnacentral:rRNA from 1 species
UACGUAGGGGGCGAGCGUUGUCCGGAAUUACUGGGCGUAAAGAGCGCGCAGGCGGCUUGCCGAGUCCGUCGUGAAAGACUUGGGCUCAACUCGAGGGGUGCGGCGGAGACCGGUGGGCUAAAGAGGGCGGUAGAGGAGCAUGGAAUUCCCGGUGUAGUGGUGAAAUGCGUAGAGAUCGGGAGGAACACCAGUGGCGAAGGCGAUGCUCUGGGCCGGCCCUGACGCUGAGGCGCGAAAGCGUGGGGAGCGAACCGG